rnacentral:rRNA from 1 species
CCUACGGGUGGCAGCAGUGAGGAAUAUUUGUCAAUGUGCGGGAGCCUGAACCAGCCAAGCCGCGUGAAGGAAGAAGGUACAGCGUAUCGUAAACCUCUUUUGUCAGGGAACCAAGGCGUGGACUAGUCCUCGGAUGAGGGUACCUGAAGAAAAAGCAUCGGCUAACUCCGUGCCAGCGGCCGCGGUAAUACGGAGGAUUCGAGCGUUAACCGGAUGUAUAUGGUGUAAAGGGUGCGUAACCGGCAGUGCAAGUCUGGAGUGAAAGGCGGGGGCCGAACCCCCGGUCUGCUAUGGACACUGUACGGCUGGAGGGCAGGAGAGGUAAGUGGAAUUCCUAGUGUAGCGGUGAAAUGCGUAGAUAUUAGGAAGAACACCAGUGGCGAAGGCGGCUUACUGGACUGUAACUGACGUUGAGGCUCGAAAGCGUGGGGAGCAAACAGGAUUAGAUACCCCAGUAGUC